UACAGAGGGGGCAAGCGUUGUUCGGAAUUACUGGGCGUAAAGGGCGCGUAGGCGGCCUUCUAAGUCGAACGUGAAAUCCCCCGGGCUCAACCCCGGGACUGCGUCCGAUACUGGAAGGCUUGAAUCCGGGAGAGGAUGCGGAAUUCCAGGUGUAGCGGUGAAAUGCGUAGAUAUCUGGAGGAACACCGGUGGCGAAGGCGGCAUCCUGGACCGGUAUUGACGCUGAGGCGCGAAAGCCAGGGGA
rnacentral:rRNA from 1 species